AUUGAACGCUGGCGGCAUGCCUUACACAUGCAAGUCGAACGGCAGCGGGGGAGAAGCUUGCUUUUCCUGCCGGCGAGUGGCGAACGGGUGAGUAAUACAUCGGAACGUGCCCUGUAGUGGGGGAUAACUAGUCGAAAGAUUAGCUAAUACCGCAUACGACCUGAGGGUGAAAGUGGGGGACCGCAAGGCCUCAUGCUAUAGGAGCGGCCGAUGUCUGAUUAGCUAGUUGGUGGGGUAAAGGCCUACCAAGGCGACGAUCAGUAGCUGGUCUGAGAGGACGAUCAGCCACCCUGGGACUGAGACACGGCCCAGACUCCUACGGGAGGCAGCAGUGGGGAAUUGUGUACAAUGGGCGAAAGCCGGAUCCAGCAAUGCCGCGUGUGUGAAGAAGGCCUUCGGGUUGUAAAGCACUUUUGUCCGGAAAGAAAUGGCUCUGGUUAAUACCUGGGGUCGAUGACGGUACCGGAAGAAUAAGGACCGGCUAACUACGUGCCAGCCGCCGCUGUAA
rnacentral:rRNA from 1 species